GACAGAGGGUGCAAACGUUGUUCGGAAUUACUGGGCGUAAAGCGUGCGUAGGCGGUUCGUUAAGUCUGCUGUGAAAGCCCUGGGCUCAACCUGGGAACUGCAGUGGAUACUGGCGGACUAGAGUGUGAUAGAGGAUGGUGGAAUUCCCGGUGUAGCGGUGAAAUGCGUAGAUAUCUGGAGGAACACCGGUGGCGAAGGCGGCAUCCUGGACCGGCAUUGACGCUGAGGCGCGAAAGCCAGGGGAGCAAACGGG
rnacentral:rRNA from 1 species